rnacentral:rRNA from 1 species
UACAGAGGUCCCAAGCGUUGUUCGGAUUCAUUGGGCGUAAAGGGUGCGUAGGCGGAUAGGUAAGUCCGUGGUGAAAUCCUGCAGCUUAACUGCAGAACUGCCAUGGAUACUAUUUAUCUUGAAUGUCGUGGAGGUUAGCGGAAUAUGUCAUGUAGCGGUGAAAUGCUUAGAUAUGACAUAGAACACCCAUUGCGAAGGCAGCUAACUACGCGAUAAUUGACGCUGAUGCACGAAAGCGUGGGGGAUCAAACAGG